rnacentral:rRNA from 1 species
UGGGGAAUAUUGGACAAUGGGCGAAAGCCUGAUCCAGCCAUGCCGCGUGUGUGAAGAAGGUCUUCGGAUUGUAAAGCACUUUAAGUUGGGAGGAAGGGCAGUAAGCGAAUACCUUGCUGUUUUGACGUUACCGACAGAAUAAGCACCGGCUAACUCUGUGCCAGCAGCCGCGGUAAUACAGAGGGUGCAAGCGUUAAUCGGAAUUACUGGGCGUAAAGCGUGCGUAGGCGGCUGAUUAAGUCGGAUGUGAAAUCCCUGAGCUUAACUUAGGAAUUGCAUUCGAUACUGGUCAGCUAGAGUAUGGGAGAGGAUGGUAGAAUUCCAGGUGUAGCGGUGAAAUGCGUAGAGAUCUGGAGGAAUACCGAUGGCGAAGGCAGCCAUCUGGCCUAACACUGACGCUGAGGUACGAAAGCAUGGGGAGCAAACAGG